GGUGUCCAUUAGGUGCUAACGAAUUUUUGAGUUUAUCCGUGUGUAUUACGAUGGGUUAGGGUUAGGUUUACGUCGUUCACGUCGUAUAUGCUGCAUAUAUAAAUAUCUUUAAAUAUCACGGCUGCCGUUGUGGGUUUCCGUAGUGUAGUGGUUAUCACGUUCGCCUCACACGCGAAAGGUCCCCGGUUCGAAACCGGGCGGAAACAUCCCCUCCUUUUCUGAACAGGGAAUGCAUUGGAAAAAAAGUUCCAUAGGUUCCAGCACUCCCGCUUGUGAGGAUCACCAGUUCAAGUAAUGGGUCCACGUGGUACGUUCCGCGGAGAAGGCGAGCCGCAGUCAGGAAAGGGUCGGCCGACCCCCUGUGCUCUUCGGGGGUUCCGGGUGGGAGUCCUGUCCUUGUGGGGGUCUUGGUGGUUUCUGAUUCAGCGCCGGCCUCCAUUUUUUUCUCCCUUCACCUGCACA